rnacentral:rRNA from 1 species
AUUGAACGCUGGCGGCAGGCCUAACACAUGCAAGUCGAGCGGAUGAAGGGAGCUUGCUCCUGGAUUCAGCGGCGGACGGGUGAGUAAUGCCUAGGAAUCUGCCUGGUAGUGGGGGAUAACGUCCGGAAACGGGCGCUAAUACCGCAUACGUCCUGAGGGAGAAAGUGGGGGAUCUUCGGACCUCACGCUAUCAGAUGAGCCUAGGUCGGAUUAGCUAGUUGGUGGGGUAAAGGCCUACCAAGGCGACGAUCCGUAACUGGUCUGAGAGGAUGAUCAGUCACACUGGAACUGAGACACGGUCCAGACUCCUACGGGAGGCAGCAGUGGGGAAUAUUGGACAAUGGGCGAAAGCCUGAUCCAGUCAUGCCGCGUGUGUGAAGAAGGUCUUCGGAUUGUAAAGCACUUUAAGUUGGGAGGAAGGGCAGUAAGUUAAUACCUUGCUGUUUUGACGUUACCAACAGAAUAAGCACCGGCUAACUUCGU